CUCAAACCAAUUUUCACGAGAUGAUAACAUACCUAAUAUCAUUCGCAAAAAAUCCUAAUGUGGCAAAUAUUAUAUUACUGUAUUGAAAAUUGAGCGGUAUAUUGACAUGAAAUUGUCGAAUCCGCGAGUCAAAAAUAAGUCCAAUUAAAUAAGGAGAUGAAAUAAAAAUUUGUAAUAAACCAAUAGCAGGAGGGGUGCAAGCAAAGAACAGGGGGGUGAUGGUACCCAAACCAUUAAUUGGGUCAGGCCCAAAACACAAUCCAAUUACCAAAACUCACUUAACUAUACUAAUCAUGUAAUUAAUCCCUAUUAACAAAUGCAUAAAGAAGAAAAUAAAAAAAACAAGUUUAGCACAAGAUUUUCUCAACCAAUCGGAAGAGGCAAGGAGUUUUUAGAGCUAAAUCACCUAAUACAUCGCUUCAGUACCUACACAUCCCCAGCAGAACAAAUCACUCAAUGGAUCGCUUCAAAACCCACUUCUAAAUCACGUUGUUCGCAACUUUCACACUUAUGUUAACUUCCCCUGCAUCGUCCAUGUCAUGAUCGUCUCCGCCUUCAUGAUGAUGCACCGUCGGCCACGGAACUCAGCGCAAAGAUGGUGCUGAUGAAGUUUGAAAAUUUGUACUGUAUAGCUACUGGUGAUGGUUGAGUUGCAACAUUUGUUGACAGGGAUGAUUCGGUUUAGAUAUGGGGAGGUUAUGUACCAAAAAAAACUUAUUCAAUCAUUAUAAUGAGUCGGGUUUGCUGGCGGUUGUAGCUGUUGGGGGUGGAAGGAAAUGGGUGGUUGGUUUUUUUACGGAAGUUGUAAGGUUUUUGUGUGGAUCCAACGGCGGUGAAGCGAAGUGAUGGCGGUAAAGAACAGCGAGGUUUAAUGGUGACGGCAAGUGAGUUUUGACGGUGGAUUUGGGUCUGUUGUGAUGGGGUUUGAGGUUGAAGAAGGUGGAGGAUGGUGAAUCAUGGCGGAGAUAGGUGGAUUCGCCGGUGGGUUGGUUAUGAGCGCCGAGGAUAAAGGUAGUGACGCGAUAGCUUUCAGCGGAUGGAGGAGAGUUAAUGGUCGAUUGAAGAAGAAAAAGGAGAUGGUGAUGGUUCUGUGCGUGGGAAGUAGAUCGGAGGGUUUAGACAGACGGGGUAUGGUUGAAGUGGGAUUUCGGCAGGGUAACGGUAUAUUUCUUCCUCUCCUUUUUUUAGUGAUUGCAUGCUCCUUAUAUAGAGCGAAGGUGAGCAAUUCUUCAAUCAUGAGCUGGCAAAUCCUAGCAAGAUCAUUCCAUUAGGAUAGAAUUUUCUUAGAGAUUUGGUGGGGACCAGGGUGAUUGUCACAGGUAAAUUUCUCUUUGUCUGUAGUGUAGCCUUUCAACCUUCUAGAACUCAUGGCUUUUUAGAAAUGACUCUUUACCGUUGAAACUUUAUCCACUAAUGAUUCCUUUACCGUGGUAAAAACUUGAUUCUUCCUUCUUUUACUAUCAAGUGUUUUCAAAUCAUAUUUUCAACCUGUGUUUGCCGUAGGUGUACAGGGCAACAUGAUAUCUGCUCAGUUCUGAUUUGGUUUGGAGAAAUUACAUUGUAAAUCCGGGCUUGGAGUUGAAAGUAUAACAGAAGGACUUGCGUGUUUUGGCUCGCGUUUUGAACUUUUAAAGAUGAGAGUGUGAGCAUUAUUGUUUCAAUGCAGAGUGGCCUUUAUUGACUGAUAUAUCAUGGCGGUUUUGUUUUUUUGUUGUGGCAAGAUGCAGCAGCAGGUUUUCUAUUAUAUGGAACUGCAUCAUUCACUUCACUGGCUGGCUCGGUAACAGGUUUAUGGAAUUGUUCCUUGUCAUUGGUUAUGCCUGUUCGCACGACAACGAUGUCUUUACUUGAUUACCGCCUGUUUUGCUACCAGUGAACCGGUUUCCUUCAAGCAGAAAUUUGACGCUUGGGAAUUAAGGACCAACUUCUGCUUACGAUUUCUUGCGACCUGCUUCAAUGUGCCAUUGACAUUUUAGCUUGGUGUAACAGAUGACCUUGAUCUAAUUAUCCCGCAUGGAAUUCUGUAUUGCAAGACUUAUGUCCUUCGUGUUCCUUGGCUCAUUUGUGGUGUGCAGGCUGCAGCUGGCACGUUCACGCCUUUGAUGUACUUAUGGAUUGUGCCACCUUAACUUUGUGGUUCUGUUUGUGUUGCUUAUGGCUCAGAAUGCAUGGCAGCUAGGGUCUUAUCUUUAUGUGGGAAGCUAAUUACGAAGUUAUUUACGCACCGGGAAAUGGUCGUGCCGUUGGUAUCCAUUGUCGAAUUGUCGCGGCUCUUGGCGAGAUUAUCAUGAUGCUGCAAAGAGAGGCACUAGGGAAGUAUAACUCAUGGAACUGUAGGCUCACAUUUGGGGUACCACGCUUUUGUAAUAUGGCAGCUGCUUCGUCACAGUGUGAUUUCUGUCAUUUGUAGAAACUCAGCUUAGGCAUACUAGGCUAUGAUAAAUGAAUAAGUAUCAUUUUGUCGCUUGCUUAGAUCGUCCAUCCGUCAUCAUGCUUAUUAUAAAUAUGAUCAUGCUGUAACUUUCUAUUUUGCCUUGCUUAAAACCAAUGUUAUGGACUUGGGCCAUUAAAUGUGGACUUUGAAGUA